ACCCAUGUACUCCACAUGAUUCCAUACCAAAUACAUAGUAGGCUGGGGAAAGCCAUGACCGGUACAAUGAAGCUUCAAGUCGCCGCCUAUUUCCUUUUCCAGAUAUGCGCAUAAUUUGCCAGCUCAGAUCGUCUCCCAUCGAUUAAUUUUUACCUCG
rnacentral:ribozyme from 1 species